GUGAAUGUGAGCGUGAGAGCAUGCCUGCGUGUGAGCACGUGAGCUGUGAGUGUGCGCGCGCGCCUGCGCAGAUUGGGCCGCCCCCCGCGCUGCGCAGGCGCCUGGCGGCCAGGGCAGGGCAGAGUCUGGAUUUGACCUUCAGCUCCCGGGACCGCGAGGGCGGGAGCGGCCACCUCCUGAGGGUCCCACUUGGAUAGCGGCUUCCCAAGCAGCACAAGGAACGAGGGCGGGCACGUGGGUCCAGCCCGGCCUCGCGGGACUCAGUUUCCUCACUGGCACUGUGAGCUCGAGCUGAGGGCGCCGCCGAGCCCCUCCGUUCCCCUCAGCUGGGGCCUGUCCUCCUGUGGCAGCGGCCACGCCGAGUGACGGGGCUCCCACCAGCCCGUGACGUUCGCAACAGGCGUCGCCCCGCCGGUUGUGCAGGCGAAACUCACAGGCGCUUGGCUUCCGACUGAAGAGGUCGCCCAGCCCUCCAGCCGGCCCGACUGGCACCUCUAACGGCUCCGCCGCCCCCUGGGCCACGGCCUCCAACAGAGACCCUGCCCGUCUCUGCCCGGCGCGGGUGACCGUGAAGGCGUGAGCGGGCGAAGGGCGGGGCUGAGACCAGGUUCCUCUCGCGACAGGGACGUGCUCCCAGGGCAGGUACAGCACCUGCCACCCGGCGCCCAGGGUGCCCCAGAGAACAGAAAGACGGGCCGCGCAGGCCCAGGGCCGGGAGGGACCGCAGCGUCACUCCAGCCUCCUGCGCGCCACAGGCGUGGGGGGACAUCAGCUAGGAAAGCUGCCACGGAAAGGAAACAGCAGAAACUCCAGCUGGGAACCUUUUCUCUUACCAAACAUGGAAAUGCAACUGAGUAAGAGCUCGGCACGGCCCCUUGCCUCCUGCGAGCAAUAAUUCUUUUGUCUUCACAUUUUCUGCAUGCUGCCCUGUGGAAGCUUGGCACGGGGACAUGCUUGAAACACAUCAAGUUUUCCCCUCUGACAGAUCUCAGAAGCGUCCCAGCCACGUGGGAAGCUUGGCUUGAGUGAGUGACAGGUGGCUUAAUCCAAGAACAAAGGACAAAGUCCUCUAGGGAUGAUUAGAGGUGAUGGAAACCGAGCUCCUGGAGGAAUGUAAGUGACAGCAGAGACAGAAAAAGAGCCCUGCCCCUGGGGCCCGGACGUGGUAGGAAACAAUUCCAAGCUGUUCCGGAGCUCAGAAAACAAUGAGCACAUUCCGAGGGAGGCAUCGGCCACCUGAUGUGUUUUCUCUGAUGCCCAAGUAUAGCUGGGGCACUUGCUGGCACAGACUCCUGGAUGGGCCUCUCGCCCUCCCACUCUGCAAAAGCUGAAAUUAAUUUCACAGCAGCAGAGGCUGGAGGCAGGAUUGUUUGUCUCUUACUGCAACUGGAAGACCCCAACCCCGUGAACAAAGUAGGGGGAAAUGCCUUCCCCAUUCCUGCCUGGAAACCCACAAGAGUUACAGUGGAGACAAAUCUGCCUGAAAAGCAUGGUUCUCCUGAAGGAACCAUGAAGGCCAACGAGUUCAAACCCGCAGACUUGCUUAAAAAGGUGGGAUGGAGCCAACAAGAGUCCUGGGCCUAAUCUUUUGGUCCAACUUAGUCACCAACCAGUGACCUUGGGCAAACCACCCUCCAUGCCUGGUUCUUCUCACAGUGCAGGAGAUGGGCGUGACAGCUAGGACACCUCCCCUAACUUCCUGAGGGCAGGACUGGUGAGGUGACAUUUUAAUCAAUGUUUUAUGCUCAGAAAAGACACUGGCAUCGAGCCUCUAAGGUCUUAGAAAAUUACUCCAAUUAAUCUAUAAAGUCAGUGCAAUUCUAGCCAAAUCACAGAUUUCUCUGAGAAUUUGGCAAGCUCAUCCUCAAAUUCGUAGAGAGAAAAGGGCCAAGAAUAGUCAAGGCAAUUUUGAAGAAUGAGGGGGUGGACUCACUCCAGCUGAUCUCAAGACAUUACACAACUAUGGUAACACCAAGAUGCCCGGCAGGCCACCGGGGACGCUGAGGGACACGCAGCCUCCCUUCCCAAGAGCUGAGACUGUGCUGAAAAUCACAAGUAGGCGGCAUAAACCAGAUUUCCAAAGCUUGGGUCUGGCCACCUGCGUCAGAACCAUGCAGAGUUUUUGUCAAAAAUGCAGGUUCUGAGACUUCACACCACACCCACUGAGCAACAAGCUCUGAAUGCUACUAAGGAGUGGUCCAGGCCACCCGUUGUGCUCACUGAAAUGGGGACUCACUGAUUCAGAUGCGUCAACAGAAACCCAUUCCUGGCUGCACAGUCAACAUUGGGCAUCAUCUCUACAGGGCAGGGGGCCCUGGGUUAGUCUGCACUGACUGCGGCUGAUGGCAACGGGGUGCUUGCAUUUUCCCAGGUACAUGUGAAUGUCAUGACCAUGCUAGCCCAGGACUUUCCUAGCUCCUCUAUCUGAUUAGUGCAGAAAGCCAUUAAUAAAGUAACAAGCAAUUAGCAUUGCUAAUAGAAAAGCUUCCUUCAAGGCACACAAGUGAGCUUUUAAAAUACAGUGAUCCCUGUUCCCCCAUCGCCAGAGAUUCUGAAUGAUACUGCUCUAGAGUGUGUGUGUGUGUGGGAGGGGCUGUUAAAACUUCUCCAGAUAACUCGUAUAGACAGUCUUGGUACAGGCCAGUUGGUCUCUACAUUUCAGAGAAGUAACGAGUCACUAAGACAGGGGUUUGUGUUAACCUUCUGAUCUCUCCUUUUCCCUUUGGAACAAGCCGUGCAGCUGGGAGGGGACCAGCUCUGAGACUGCAGGGAAAGGCAGGGCCCGUGCACCAUGCUCAGCAGCAAGGCCUGGGUAGAGGGCUCUGUUGGCCGACCAGGGAGUAACUGGAGCCCACAAACAGCUUCCCUCUGCUGGAAAGCCCUGGCCAGCAGGCCCAUCAGCUCCACCCUCCUUCCAUUUGCUAAGGCCACAGGGAGCCAAAGAUCUUCGAUAUGUGCUGCCAACACGCUCUGAAAAAUGCUUUUCUGGCCCCUACAAGAAAACAUCAGUCGUGCAUUUCUCAUGAGAGAGGACAUGGAAAAAUCAGCCCGGGAUUGCAGCGAGGCCUGACCUGCUCUGAUCCCCGCCGCUUCCCUGACCAAGGAGAACUAGGGGUCAGUCCUGCUGCCAUCGGGGGACUAAGGUUGACUUUGGUGUGAUCCUGAACUUGGCAUCAAGGUCAGUCCUGAAGCUGAGCCAUGGGGAAAGGCUCCAGAACCAUCCCGGCUCUCCUGCCAACUAAGCCAGCUCAGGGAUACUGGGAGCAAGAGGGCUCAGCCUGCCUGCCCUCCUCUCACUUCGGGGAAAUGGAGGCAGCAGCAGGGCAGGGGCUUGCCCAGCCGGGGCCUGCACUGCCCUGCGCAGUGACAACAGACUCAGGGCUGUGGGUUGUGGCUAUUUAGCAACUAGCCAGGGCUUGGUAAGUGGUGAAGCUACAACCAGGAAUCCAUUUAUCCCGUGAAAAAUCUGUUCAUCUUGGAGAUCCGGGAAGAGGAAAGAAUGAUGCUUUGGAACAGAAUUUGGAGGAUAGUUCAGAAAAAAAAGUUUUGAAAGGGAAAAAGAGAAAGAAAAAUGAGAAUGAGAGCCCAAAUUUCUCAAAGGGUUUUAAAUUUUUGUCAUAGCAAAUGCCACACAUUCAGUGCAGCUGGGAAGCAUCUCUUCAAAGGAAAACAACUCAGCCCCCGGGGUGGCGGAACUCUGUCCCAGGGAAGCUGCUCUGCGGUGGCCAUCCUUGGGGCGGUGAGCCCACCUGGUCCCCAGCGGGUCAGCUGUCGCCACACUCCGGGUGUGAGGAAUAGUUGCCAUCACAUUAGCCUAGAUUCUUUAAUUCCAGAAGGGUUCCUGGUAGGUUAUUUUCUCUUUGACCUCUUAUUAAUUUGGUGAGCGGUGUACUCAUUGCCAAUUUUUCAUGUGCCAUUUCUGUAUCAUUUCUGGAAGACAGACACACAAGGAAUUUCACCUCAUGGCACGGGGGAAACUUCCUGACCUGGCACAAAGCCCUGUGCUGGCAUGCAGGCGCACACAGUGUUCAGGUGAGGACUCUGAAAGAGGUGCUGAUGGAAUGAAGGAGUGUCAUCGUGCCUGGCUACUCUAAGAAUGCUGAAGUAAAACCCAGGCAGUUAGGGAAAAUCACCAUCAAAGCGAGGCUAAUGUAUCUAUUUUCAGAAGAGAGACUUUAAUCCCAUGACAAUGCUCCACGACAAUGCUUUUAUUUUUGCCUCGGGGAACAGUGAUAGGUGCAGUAGAGCCUGCUCUAUUUUGAGAAGUUGGGGACAGGAGGUGAGUCUGUGCAGGGAUCUGGCCAAUUCAAGGUCACCUAUACAUGAAAAUAUGUUUGGGGGAAAUACCAACACUUCUAAAAUAAGCUGCUCUAAACAGUGGAUGCCAGUGAACAACGUCCCACCCGCCACGCUGAGACUGAGCCAGGCGGCCCUUCACCUCCUCUCCUUUUCUCUCUUCAUGUCCCUUUCUCCACCUCUGCCUUGUUUUCUCAGCAGAGCACUGUCACAUCCUGGGAUGACACAGAAAGGACACCACAGCCGUGCUAACCUACUGGCUCCAGACACAGCCCUUGAAAACACAGAGCCCGGGGCGACCCUCACUCUCGGACUUUCCAGCCUCCACGGCUGUGAGCCAAACACAUUUCUGUUCUUUAUAAUUUGCCCCAUCUGUGGCUUUCUGUCACAGCAGCAGAAAACGAAAGAAGCCACCCCAUCCUGUUUCUUUGACAUCCUUGCCAUUUGCACCCUUGUCCUCACAGCUAUCCAUGGAGCUGUUUAUUGCAAAAUAAACUGAGCACAGAAAUGGCAGCCUGCUGCACACACCUUCCGUUUCCGUUGGUGACUGAUCUACUCGGGUGCCUGCAGAGCUGCCUCACUGCCCUCACAGCUGUGUGUUUUGUCCACCGCACUGCCUGUUGGUGGGUGUUCGGGCGGCUCCCGAUCCCUGGCUGUCACAGCAAUGGGCACAUAUCCUGAUACACAUCCCAUUUGGCACAUGGGCAAGUGUCUGUAGAAGAAAUACUGGUGAGAGGAUGUGCUGGGUCAAAAGGAGUGAGGUCGAGGCUGUUCCAACACCAUGUACUGAAUGAUCCAACUCUUCCCCCCGAGAUGUGGACAGCCUACAUAUCCCAUUGUCGACUGGAAAGCCUACCUCAUCCACCUACAGUGAUGCUCUGUGCCGGCAGCACUCCUCCCCUGCCACCCAUUUCCCGUCCAUCCUGCCCAGAGCCCGUGACUGUCGUGCCUUCGGAAACGGCACCUGAACCCUGCGCUGGCCAGCCUGGUGAUUGCUUUUAUGAUACUGCCCAUCAAUUUAUGAGUGGAUUAACAAAAUGUGGCAUAUGUAUACCAUGGAAUUCUACUCAGCCACAAAGGAUGAUGACAAUGCCUUUUGCCUGUGGUCCCCAACCCCCGGCAUGCAGACUGUUAAGGACCAGGACGCAGAGCCCCAGCCCCUCCCUUUCAAAAAACUGUCUUCUGUGAAACUUAGGAACCAGGCACACAGCAAGAGGUGAGCAGUGAGUGAAACUUCAUCUGUAUAUUGGCCGCUCCCCAUCGCUCGUAUCACCGCCUGAGCUCCAGCCCCAAGUGCCCACCCCCUGUCCUUGGGAAAACUGUCUUCCUUGAAUACUGGUCCCUGGUGCCAAAAAGGUUGGGGACUGCGGUCUUUUGCAACAAUUUGGAUGGAACUGGAGACCAUUAUCCUAAGUGAAGUAUUUAAAGAGUGAAAAAAAAACCCUGUACUUCUUUAAUUCGUAUCUUUCACACUGAGCGGAGCCCCCUUUCUCCACAGCACCGCCUGAGUCGAGGCUGGGUUGAGACCGUCUCUCCGAACACUGCACGAUCCAGCCCAUCCCCCAUCCCAAACACCCUCCCCAAAUGCAAAGUGGCCUCACACAGCUUCCUGGAUCAAAAAGCAUCCACUGGAUAAACUGUGAGCACCGCAGACCAGACGAGGCCCUGAUCAGCUCCUGGGCUUGCCUCCAGCCUGGGCUCACCCCCUCACCACAGGCAAACACCCGGCUUCCUUCCCGUGCCAUAAGCUGUCCCUUCCCUCAGGACUGCCCUUGUCCUUGACUCUCUGAGGUAGCCGGCUGGCUCCUCAGGUGCCCCUGCUAGCCUGCGCCCUUCCCUCAGGCGCAGGGACGGGCAGUGCGCCUGCUGAGGACACUCCCAACCGUCCCUGCUGGCGGGCGGGUCCUUUCCUCUGAAGGGACCUCUCCGCCGCCCAUUGGCCACAGCGCAUUUCGAACGCCAUCUCGUGCCUCCGGAACGCUACCUCCCACCCCAGCUUUCAGCCACCACACACUGGAACUUCGCCCGCCGCGUUCCGCCUGGCAUUAGUUUCCUUGCCAAGUAUCCCACUCCUCCCCUGGCCCGGAAGCCACGCAGGCUCAGAGGGCUUGCUCCCCGCUCCGUGCCCCGCACGCUCUGGCCACACGGCGCCCGACAACGGCGCUGCCGCCCACGAGCGCGUGCCGCCCAGAGCGCGGCAGACCUCCGCGGGCGUCGGGCGAGACGCCGCAGGAAUACUACAAGAUCCCUUGGCCGGAGCCCGUGUGGGCCACCUGGCCCGCCAGAGAAUGGGUGCU